AUGCUUUACUUCUAUGUCUAUCUUGAAUUGCUCAGUAUUCAGAGAAAACACAAAGCUCACAAAUUUUUAAUGAAAGGAGAUGGUGGCUGGGCGCAUUGGCUCAUGCCUGUAAUGACAGCUCUUUGGGAGGCCAAAGUGGGCGGAUCACUUGAGGUCAGGAGUUCGAGACCAGCCUGGCCAACAUGGUGAAACUCUCUCUCUACUAAAAAUAUAAAACUUAGCUGGUCCUUGUGGGGAUGCCUGUAAUCCCAGCUACUCAGGAGGCUGAGGCAGGAGAAUCACUUGAACAGGGGAAGCGAAGGUUGCAGUGAGCCGAGAUCAUGCUACUUCAUUCCAACCUUGGUGACAGAUCAAAAGUCUGUCUCAAAAAAAUAAAUAAGGAGAUGGUGUGUAAUCAAUAUUUUGGGCCCCUCUUGUUAGCUAAUAUGUUUAAGCCUAGGUCAAGAUAGAAACUGACCCAGAUUAUUAGCAUGUUUCAGUGCAUAAUACUUUAAAAUAAUUCAACACUGACACAUAAUACUAUACUAUUCCACUUAGAUAUAAACAGAUGGUAAGAGAAAUCUCAUGUUCUUAUCCUGGCAUGGUGGCUCACACCUGUAAUCCUAGCACUUUGGGAAGCCAAGUUGGGAGGAUCCCUUGAGCCCAGGAGUUUGAAACCAGACUGGGUAACAUAGUGAGACCUAUCUCUACAGAAAAUUUAAAAACUAGCUGGGCGUUGUGGCAAGCACCUUAGUCCUAGCCACUGGGGUUGUUGAGGUGAGAGAAUUGCUUUUCCCAGGAGUUCAAGGCUACAGUGAGCUAUGAUCACAUCACUGCACCCCAGCCUGGGUGAUACAGUGAGACCCUGUCUCUUAAAUAAACAAAAAAUAAUCCCAGAACUCUAAUGUUCUUAUAGGAAUUUUAAUAAUUAGCCGGGCAUGGUGGCGCAUGCCUAUAGUCCCAGCUACUUGGAAGGCUGAGACACGAGAAUCGCUUGAGCCUGGGAGGCAGAGAUUUCAGUGAGCCGAGAUCGUGCCACUGUGCUCCAGCCUGGAUGAUAGAGCGAAACUCUGUCUGAAAAUAAAUGAAUGAAUGAAUGAAUGUAUAAUGAAAGUUUUAACUUAACAAAUUUUAUUUAUGCCUCACAUUGAUGAAAUUAUAAGAACUAAUAAUACUAAUAUACAUAUAUUUUACAAAAAAGGUUUUUUUUUUU
rnacentral:lncRNA from 1 species